UACGUAGGGGGCAAGCGUUGUCCGGAAUCAUUGGGCGUAAAGAGCGUGUAGGCGGUCCGGUCAGUCGGUUGUGAAAGUCAAGGGCUCAACCCUUGAAUGCCGGCCGAUACUGCCGGGCUAGAGUCCGGAAGAGGUGAGUGGAAUUCCUGGUGUAGCGGUGAAAUGCGCAGAUAUCAGGAGGAACACCGAUGGCGAAGGCAGCUCACUGGGACGGUACUGGCGCUGAGACGCGAAAGCGUGGGGAGCAAACAGG
rnacentral:rRNA from 1 species